UGCCUAGAGGGAAAGAAAGGAACUAAAUUAUUCUUUGAAUCUUGCAAAAUGGAUAGUCCAAUACAGUCUCCCAGAUCGCUAUUAUUAUCACUUUGCAGGGAUGAAAGAACAGAUGUAGAGCCGUGGUUACGUUUCUUGGCCAAAUCCGAGUCAUACUCAUUCACCAGACUAAGGGGAGAAUGGGGUGAGACCCCAGGCCACCUCAGUGCUCGGGCCUCCUCUUCAAUCCUCAGAACCCAUUGUGACUUACAACACCAUGCCCCUCUUCUCUCCUAGCCCUGGGAUUUUAUCAUCAGUUCCUGCAUCCUGUUCCUUCCUUGAAGCCCCCCAGCCAGUCCUCGAGGCCAAUGCUAAGUCAUCAUCUUCCUCUCUCCUCCCUCAGCCUCAGGCCUAUUCUCUGGGGAAUCCACUCUGACCCCGGGCAAAAACUCCAAGUGCGAGCAGCGGCAGAUGGAGAGCAGC